CUGCAUUCCUGCUUGAAAGAAACUUCUGUUUAAUAAUAUUUAAUUAAUGUUAUUUCUUUUUAGGGAUAUCUGGUAAAGCAAUUGCACUACUUUGUUCAAGGAUACCGUCUGAAUCAGGUUAAAAAGUUCAUCUGGAAGUGACAUAACCAUAAAAGAUAUCCCGUCAAAGCAGCAUGUCCUUACUUCUGCUUGUAUGCUAUGGCUGGGCAUUGUUCAUGGCUUUCCCAGCUUUUUUUUUUUUUUUUUGGCAGAAAUCCUGUGCAAUUAUAACCCAGCUAGAGACUAUCCUUUCUGUUCAACCUGUCACUGUAACACACUGCUAAAGCACUUUCAGCUGGCAAAUCAGGAGUCAAUACCGUGGGCAACAAGCAACACAAGAAAGGAUCUUAGAGAAGAUCUCGUGUAAGAGAGAUCAUCUGGAUAUCAAGGUCAUAGCUACACUGCUGGAUUCCUCACAAGAUGGAGUAUCAAGGCAAUAGCUCGGAGGCAACUACAUUGUGAAUGAAAAUCUGUACAAGGAGAGGCAUUAGCCUUUAUUGGAAACAAGGGUAAAUAUUGCUGUAUUAGGGUCUAAGUUCAAAGGUCAGGAACUUACCUUUGUUCCUUUACACACAACUUGAUUUUCACAGGUUUUCCAUUCAAAUGUCAGGCAAGGAUGCACUAUGAUUAAUGCUUACUGUGUGAAGUAGGAGGUGACCAAAUAUGAACCUUGUAUAGGUAUUUCAACUAGGAAAAACAAUAGCGUUAGGCAAGGAGCUUUAACUAUAUGAAUGAAAAUAAGAUGAAUUGCUACACACAAAUUGAUAGAGUAGCAAAAGGCUGAUCCAUCCUGGAGGUAUUGCCGUGGAAUGCAGCAGGUAGCAUUUUGUG
rnacentral:lncRNA from 1 species